GAUAGGAUAGCUCAGUUGGUAGAGCAGAGGACCGAAAAUUCUCGUGUGACCAUUUCAAAUCUUGUUCCUGGCA
rfam:Nicotiana sylvestris Nsyl_contig61077, whole genome shotgun sequence.